rnacentral:rRNA from 1 species
GACGAACGCUGGCGGCGUGCUUAACACAUGCAAGUCGAACGGAAAGGCCCUGCUUUUGUGGGGUGCUCGAGUGGCGAACGGGUGAGUAACACGUGAGUAACCUGCCCUUGACUUUGGGAUAACUUCAGGAAACUGGGGCUAAUACCGGAUAGGAGCUCCUGCUGCAUGGUGGGGGUUGGAAAGUUUCGGCGGUUGGGGAUGGACUCGCGGCUUAUCAGCUUGUUGGUGGGGUAGUGGCUUACCAAGGCUUUGACGGGUAGCCGGCCUGAGAGGGUGACCGGCCACAUUGGGACUGAGAUGCGGCCCAGACUCCUACGGGAGGCAGCAGUGGGGAAUAUUGCACAAUGGGCGGAAGCCUGAUGCAGCAACGCCGCGUGCGGGAUGACGGCCUUCGGGUUGUAAACCGCUUUCACCUGUGACGAAGCGUGAGUGACGGUAAUGGGUAAAGAAGCACCGGCUAACUACGUG